GACGAACGCUGGCGGCGUGCUUAACACAUGCAAGUCGAACGGAAAGGCCCUGCUUUUGUGGGGUGCUCGAGUGGCGAACGGGUGAGUAACACGUGAGUAACCUGCCCUUGACUUUGGGAUAACUGCAGGAAACUGGGGCUAAUACCGGAUAGGAGCUCCUGCUGCAUGGUGGGGGUUGGAAAGUUUCGGCGGUAGGGGAUGGACUCGCGGCUUAUCAGCUUGUUGGGGGGGGAGUGGCUUACCAAGGCUUUGACGGGUAGCCGGCCUGAGAGGGUGACCGGCCACAUUGGGACUGAGAUACGCCCCAGACUCCUACGGGAGGCAGCAGUGGGGAAUAUUGCACAAUGGGCGGAAGCCUGAUGCAGCAACGCCGCGUGCGGGAUGACGGCCUUCGGGUUGUAAACCGCUUUCGCCUGUGACGAAGCGUGAGUGACGGUAAUGGGUAAAGAAGCACCGGCUAACUACGUG
rnacentral:rRNA from 1 species